rnacentral:rRNA from 1 species
UACGUAGGGGGCAAGCGUUGUCCGGAUUUAUUGGGCGUAAAGAGCGUGUAGGCGGCCAUACAGGUCAGCUGUGAAACUCGAGGCUCAACCUCGAGACGUCGGUUGAAACCGUAUGGCUAGAGUCCGGAAGAGGAGAGUGGAAUUCCCGGUGUAGCGGUGAAAUGCGCAGAUAUCGGGAAGAACACCCGUGGCGAAGGCGGCUCUCUGGGACGGUACU